UAUAGGGGGGAUAUGGGGCAGAUAUGGGGGAAUAUCUGGCUCUAUGUGUCCCUAUGUCCCUUAGGGCAAGCACUGCAUCCUGGACGUGUCAGCCAACGCGGUGCGGCGGCUGCAGGCGGCUCAGCUGCACCCCAUCGCCAUCUUCAUCCGGCCCAAGAGCCUGCAGAACAUCCUGGAUAUCAGUAAGCGCGUGACAGAGGAGCAGGCGCGGAAAGCUCUGGAACGAGCCACCAAACUGGAACAGGAGUUCACAGAGUGCUUCUCUGGUAUGGAACUACAUAGGGACCCCAUAGGGACCCCAUAGAAACCCCAUAGGGACCCCAUAGGGACCACAUAGACACCCAUAGAAACCCCAUAGAGACCCCUGACCCCAUAGGGACCCCAUAGACACCCCAUAGGGACCACAUAGAGACCCCAUAGAAACCCCAUAGGGACCCCCUGCCCCAUAGACAGCCCAUAGACACCCCAUAGAGACCCCUGACCCCAUAGGGACCCCAUAGAAACCCCAUAGGGACCACAUAGGGACCAUAUAGGGACCACAUAGGGACCCCAUAGGGACCCCCUGCCCCAUAGACAGCCCAUAGGGACCCAAUAGAGACCCUAUAAGGACCCCCCUGCCCCAUAGAAACCCAUAGAAACCCCAUAGGGACCCUAUAGGGAUCCCCUGCCCCAUAGGGACCCCAUAGGGACCCCAUAGGGACCCCCUGCCCCAUAGACAGCCCAUGGAUACCCUAUAGAGACUCCCCUGCCCCAUAGAGACCUCUAUGAGAUCCCUAUGAGACCCCCCUGCCCCAUAGGGGCCCCAUAGAGACUCCCCUGCCCCGUAGACACCCCAUAGGGACCCAAUAGAGACCCUAUAAGGACCCCCCUGCCACAUAGAGACCCAUAGAAACCCCAUAGAGACCCCUGUGCCCCAUAGGGACCCCAUAGAAACCCCAUAGGGACCCCAUAGGGACCCAUCUGCCUCAUUGACAGCCCCACCCCCCAGCUCCCCAUCCAAUUAAUUAACCCCCAUUAACUGACCCCCCCUAAUUAACCCUCCUCCCUAAUUAACCCCCCUUUAAUUAACACCCCACUUCUUA
rnacentral:lncRNA from 1 species